GGCCUAAUGGCCCAAUGGCAAGGCGCUUGACUACGAAUCAAGAGAUUCCAGGUUCGACCCCGUAAGUUUU
rnacentral:tRNA from 1 species